GGUUGUAGCUUAGUGGUAGAGUACUUGCUUUGCAUGCAUGAGGCCCUAGGUUCAAUCCCCAAUACUGCCA
rnacentral:tRNA from 1 species